rnacentral:ncRNA from 1 species
AAUAAAAGAUUUAUUUCAGGAAUUUAAGGGAAUCCUGUGAAAAUCAGGAACGGGCCCGCCGCUGUAACCGGGGAUGAACCUUUGCCCUAUAUCACUGUUUGAUGUCUGAUUAUCAUCUGUCUGAUGACAGCAGAAUCUGGCAUAAAUGGGAAGAUGCAGAAAAGUAAGUUGAUCCGGAAGUCAGAAGACCUGCCUGAAAAAAUAACUCAUU